GGUGAAACAGGAUUUUAAAAGCUCAAGGAGGAUACUCAUUACUGGUUGCUGUUUUUAACAACAGGCCCUUCAAGCCUUAGAGAAGUUGACCUUUAAGAUGUCAAGAUGUUCCCCACCUAAUGAUGUUCACCAGUGCAAUCUGAAUGCACACUAAUGGGCAGCUUGCACAGGACCGUUAAUGCAGCACAGAUCUGCUGGCACAUAGAGGAGACGAACAAGGCACUGUGCUGUCAGGCGGCAACAAUGUAGUUC